AGUACAGGGGUAAAAUAGUAAUUUUAAAACUUUUUCAAAAUUAUGAUUUUACAGCAGAAAAAUAUUAAUUAAUCUAAUUAAUUAAUAUAUAUUUAUCCUAUACUAGGAUCUAAAUAUGAUAUAUAGCAUGCAUGUAUUUAAAUUUGAAAUUCAAAUUCGAACAGUAAACACUUUACUGUAAUGUGUUCAGAACACAAUACCUUUGUGCAGGUAGUAGAUCGUCGUAAUCUGAUUACCGUCGGAAGAGUCUGAUCAUCGCGAUGCAGUCACACAACAUGUCUGGCCUCUGCAGAUCAUCCACACAAAGCUCCUGAUCUGAUCGACUCCUCACGAGUGCUAGCUCGUUGUAGAGCCCUUUUGACGGCCGAUGC
rnacentral:lncRNA from 1 species